UUCCAAGAAGCAGUUUUUAGUGGGAACAAGUUUGAACCAUUCUUGAGACGUGUCUGUAAAGUAACUCCACCUGCACCCAGAAGAGGCAAUACACAUGAAUACCGCUAUCUAGAAGAACCAUACUUUUCCGAUGAUACAAAAGAACAAGAAGACCAAGAUCCACCACCUGGGUUUCCUUCUACAAAGGCAGACAGCGGUCAAGACACCAAAUUAACCAAGAGUGGUGAACAAUUAUCUAUUCUAAGACUCAUAGAAAAAAAGAUGAGUUUAGAAGAAGGCCACAAAAUUGCCACAGAAGAGGAAGAAGAACCAAAGUUACAGGAUGUUUCUCCAAAGUUGAUCGGAGAUAAAAUGUCAGAUGCAGAGGUAGAUGAGGCCCAGAUUUAUUUUAAGAGCUUUCUGGAAAACUUCCUUGCUGAUAAACUUGUAAAAGUUGCAGCACUGCAAUCGAUUCUAAGCAAAAACAUUGAAAAUCUAGUUGCAGAGAGGCUCUCAGAAACACAGCUAUUCCAAGAACUAGAAGACCAUCUUAAGGAGAAACAGUUGCCUGAGGAAAAAAGAUCUGUUCCUAGAGAAAAGUUUUCAAAGCCAGACAUAAUGAAGUUGAAAGAGAUUGUGAGUCUAAACUUGCAAACCCGUCUUGUUAAGAAAUUUUGUCAACAGGGAAUAAUUCCAGAUCUGAAAGUAGCUGAGAGAGAUGAGAAGUUUUCUCUUCCAAGUGCUGCUGAUCUGCUAAAGAUAAAGGAAAGUGAAAUAAUAACAAUAAAACCACUAAGUGACACUCAGUUAGAAGACAUUCCUGUAACUGAACCAGUUGUUAAAGGGACAGAAUCAGUCACAAGCAAAUGGGAAGAUUACAAAGAAGCCCUUUGUCCUCUAAGAAAGAAGUCCUCAUUGGAAAUAAUUCGAGUAAAACUACCAUUUGGCACGGAAACAGAUAGUAGUAAACAGCGACUUUCCAAUUUUGACAUUCUCCUUGGCAAGGUUUUAAAAACAGAAAUAACACAUUUAAAAUCAUUUUUAAGCAAAAAGCUCCAGGAUCAUCUUAAAGAUAAACUUGCAGAAAUUGGAGUAACGGCAAAAGAUUUGAGGACAGUAUGCCGGAGGUUGUACUUUCCCCAGAAAGAGAAACACAUAAUAACACCAAAAGAGGUACUGAAAGAAGACGUUUUUUUCUCCGAGGAAGAGCUUGCAAAAGAAACACCUGUGUUAAGUAAAAGUAUGCAAAAUCUCGUAGAAGUCCUUUCCGAAAGAGAAAUGGCUAAUUUAAAGUCUGCAUUCAAUAAGAAGAUCCACGGCUAUGUUUCAAAAAGACUUUCGGAGAUAGAAGUGAUUACAGAGAAAGAGUUACAAGAAAUACUCAAACAUUUUUUUCCAAUUGUGGCCAAAGAAAUAUCAUUAAGGGGGGAUAAAGAAACAGAUGUAUCUAAAAAAGGGCCAACAGUACCUCCCUUAACCCAAAAUCUGCAUGACAGGUUUUCGGAAGAAGAACUACAAAAUCUAAAGAGUCUCUUAGGCAGACUUCUGCAAGAAGAUCACAAAGAAGAGCUUUCCGAAUCAGAAGUGAAAGGUUUAACAUCAGUUUUACAGAAAAACAUUGAGGAUGUUCCCAUACAUAGUGGUUCUGGAACUGAGAUGAACAAAGGAAUAGAGAUAAAGGAUAAAAGUUGUAAUAUACCUUUAACAAAUGCUGAAGAAAAUUUGAAAACUAAUGAUGUAGUUGUAUCAGACAGAGGCAAAGAGCAUUCAAUAGAAAGGCUUCAUAAAACUCCAGAAUCUGAUGAAAAAAGAGAACCACUAGACCUGCCUGUAAAUAAUAUUUUUGAAGUAGAAACAAGGAACCAAGAAACUCAGACUGUGCUCCUUCCAAAAAGAGUGAAACAUAGCUCUAAGAAAGAAAGUCACAAGUUGCCACCUUGUCCUGAAAAUCCAGAGAUGUCACUUUUAAAGAGGAGGUCAUUUGAAGCAGGAUUGAAAAGCAAACCAUCUGGUGAAGUUAUAAAGACAGCAGCUGAACCAUUUCCUUGCUCAUCUUUUUUGAGUGCACAUGAUAUUGGCGUACAAACUGAAAUCAGGAAUUAUCUUGGCAAGCCAAAUUACUUCACCAAGCCUUCCUUUCCAGUAAACCCUCAGACAUUUCUUCUUUUACAUUCAGAGUCUGAGGAUGAUGCAAAGGCACCAUGUAAAUAUCAUCACAAACCCAAAUACAAGAAGAAGUCUGACAGAAAGAGAGACUCAGGGCCACAUCGUUCACACCAAACAGCGAGCAAUGCACAAAACAAGAAAGAAAAAUCAAGUAGUGGAAGUUCAUCUAAGGAGAUUUUGAAAGAAAAAUACAAAAGACACAGUGAAACAUCUUCCCCAAAAACAAGAAUGUCAGAAAGCAAGAAGGAUUUAAAAGUUGCACUCUCUCCUAGUACUAUGAAAAAGGAGAGUGCGAAGCAGAGGGCGGAAAGAAAACGUUACCAGGAAAUAAAACCCAGAAAAUCUAGCAAGGGCUCUACCCUGUCUGAGCUAUUCCUAUCAAAAAUAGGAAUUCCUCCAUCUUCUGGUCAUACAAAAGGAAAUACAUUGGUCUCUACAGGCACAGACGAUAUAGAUAUAGAAGCAUACAAGCAUCUUGAAAAAGCCAUCGAAAGAGCUCUUAUUGAUUUAGGAAGAAUACCAGAUGGUAGCUCCCUCCAGGGAAGGCCAAACACUUCUCCAGUUGCUGUUGCCCCUGCGUCUAGAGAUUCAUCCCGAUCUUUCACCAAUCUCAUUGAGACUCCAAAAAAUCAAGCAGGGUCAAUAUCUGAGAUGCUUCAUAAUCAGGAGAUUUUAAAAAUGACACCGGACCAGUUAGAAAUAGUCCUUAAGAUUCUUCAAAAGGUGUUGAGUCAGAACACAAGACCCCCGGAUAAUGAAUGAAUGGAAACCAUCUGCGCCUGAACCAGUUACUGCGUCUGAACCAGUUACUAUUUUUCCCAAGUGUAACGAAAAAUAAAACCCUCCUUGUAUGUAAUUAUUUUGUAGUUUUGGGAUGUUUUAAAACUUACCUGCAACCCUUCCUAGAAUCAGAGGUCCUAAAGAGGAUGGUGCAAGAUCUGAUAAUGUUAAGGUUAGACUUCUGCAAUGCUCUUUAUAUUGGAAUACCUCUUUUCCUAGUUUGGAGGCUCUAAUUAGCAACCAGACUAGUUACAGGAACAUCUAGGAGUCAGCAUAUCACACCAAUAUUAAAGUAAGUCCACUAGUUGCCAAUUAGUUUCUGGGCAAAGCACAAAAUGUUGGUUGUGACAUUUAAGGCCCUACAUGGUUUGGGUCCAAGUUACCUACCAGAUUGCCUUCCCCCACAUGACCUGCCCCUUAGGACACUGAGUCAUAACUUAUGUCUACUGUAUUUUUGUUCUAUUUUAAUAUGCACAUUUUAUAGGAAUAUUUUUUAAAAUAUGUAUUUUAAUGAAUGUUUAUGACAAUGUGUUUUUAACUGUUAUUCGCUGCUUUGAGGUGUUAAGAAAGAUGGGUAAGAAAUAUGUUUUUAUUAUUAAUAUUAUUAUUAACAAAUUAUUAAGGUGUUGUGUGCCUCCCGGGCAGUAUGGCCGUUUUCUAGCAGCAUUUUCUCCUGGCAUUUCGCCUGCAUCUGUGGCUGGCUUCUUCAGAGGAUCAUUACUAAUGUAAAAAUACAUAAUAGUGCAAUGUUCAUUUCUUUGAGACUGAUUAAUGAAAGGGCAACUGCUGAAAGAGACUUGAAAGCUUGAUAGACUUACCUUUAUUAUUUUAUCAUAUGAACUAUGUCCUUAUCUUCACAUACCAUCUCUCACACUUGCACAGGAAUAACCAAAAACAGAUGAAAAGCCAUUCUACUUUUGAUAACCUUGUUUCUUGUACUCAUCUCCAUUGCGGUGGCACAAUGGAUUAAACUCUUGUGCCGGCUGAACUGUUGACCUGAAGGCUGGCAGUUGCUGACCUGAAGGUUGGCGGUUUGAAUCCACAAGAUGGGGUGAGCUCCUGUCUGUCAGCUCUAGCUUGCGGGUACAUGAGAAAAACCUCCCAGCAGGUUGGUAACACAUCUAGGCAUCCCUUGGGCAAUGUUUCUAGAUGACCAAUUCUCGCACACCAAAAGCGACUUUUCAGUAUGUUCUCAAUUCACUUCUGACAUGAUUUUUUUAAAAUCUCAAUUUGUGCCAAGAUCGGCUAUUUCAUUAGCAAUUUUCUGAGACCUAAUCUGCAAAAGUGUGGAUUGUUCUUCUGCACCUUUGUACAAUGACUUUUCACCCCACUCAGCGCUAUUUCUAAAUGGUAUAGCAAAGAGGUGCAGAAAGUACAUCAUGUAUAUGCAUUAAAGACAGAUUUUUUAAAAACACACACACAAAUCAAUGUUCAAUUCAUGUUUCAUCCCCAAAGCAGCUAAAGUGACCCACAACCAGCUGCACAUGUAGUAUCCCCAAUGCAGUGUAAAGUCAACCUUUUAGGAAAUAUACCAUUAAAAUGACGAGAUAUCGACUCAAAUGUCUUUUUUAAAAUAAGUACAUUUUAUUCCAGUUAUAUUUAUCAGUAUUGGGUUGGUAAAAGAUGGCUAAUAUAAUUUUACUUCAGUAGUUUCCUAUCGGAAGGACACUUAUGAUACCAGUUGUAUCAUAUUUGAUAUAAUUUGUGAGAUUACACACUUAGAAAUUAACCCACAUCUGUUUUAUAGGAUAAAAUAAAAUGUGCAUUAAUAAAAUAUAAUUUUUAAUAUCUCAGUAUUAAGGAAGUCCCAUCCCCAGUUAUAUGCUAUACACAGAAUAAGGGUUUAGGUUAAGUUAAUAUUUGUUCGGUCAUUCACAGUGCUAUAGCAAAAAGUCCAUGUUUGCCAGUCUGGUAUUUUUAUUUUCCAUUAUUUCUGUCAAUUGGAUUUUUCUUCUCAAUUGAAGGCACACCAAAAAGUCAAAAUACAACCUUGAUUUAUAAUACAUUGCUUCCCCUAAUUGUGUUUGCGGUAGCAUACUUUUAAUAGUCAUGAUCGGCUGGAAUCAGUGUAUCUUUUUUUUGACCUGACAGAGUAUUCUGUUUUAUAGAUUCUUUUUGUCCUGCAAACGUUAACUUAGGGCCCUUCCACAUAGCUAUAUAACCCAGAAUAUUAAGGCAGAAAAUCCCAAAAUAUCUGCUUUGAUAGCAAUGUGGACUCAGAUAACCCAAUUCAAAGCAGAUAUUAUAGGAUUUCCUGCCUUGAUAUCCUGGGUUAUAUGGCUGUGUAGAAGGGCCCUCACAAUACUGCCAUUUAAAAAGGCUAGCUAGGUUUAAGUCAUCAUUAGUGAUAUUUCAAGUAGUAUCAUAGCUGCGGACUAGUUAGCAAUAUAUAAAGGAUAUGAUCAAGUAAUUUAAUUAUCCUAUUUUCAUUAACAUUAAAUGUAUUAGAUUUCCUAGGUUAGGUUGUGCAAGAGGUGCUUUGCAUUAAAAGAUCACAGCUAUUUAUUCCAGGUUACAGUAAUAGCUACUCCAGAUAUUGUAGGACAUGACAGAAGAGCCCUUGAAAACUCAAGGAUUUGCACUGUGCCAUCGUCUCAAAGGUAGGUGAAGGCACGAUUUUAUAAAAACACUGAAAAGAUGGUUGGUAUGGAAAUUAACAGUAUACUAAAAAAUAAUAAUAAGAUAACAGAAACAGUAUUACAGAUAUCAAUAGCAUAGAUAUUAUUGUGUGCCUCAGUAAGGAAGACUUAGCACUACACUUUGGGUGUAGGAAUAUAAAAAAGAUGCUUCAUAGCACAUGGACAAGUUUGCUAUUUAAGAAAUAAAGUCAAUUCACAUAGUACCAUUUGGGUACUAUACAAAUAUUUAAUAUUUUCAAGUAUAUCACCAAUAUCUGUAUUUUAAAAAAGAAAAGCAGCCAAAAAAUAUCACAUUUUUACACAGAGAUGC
ensembl:lncRNA